rnacentral:rRNA from 1 species
GUGAGGAAUAUUGCGCAAUGGGGGAAACCCUGACGCAGCAACGCCGCGUGAAGGAUGAAGGCUUUCGGGUUGUAAACUUCUGUCGGGUGGGAAGAAUCUCCCGGGGGAUAAUACCCUCCGGGAUUGACGGUACCGCCGAAGGAAGCCCCGGCUAACUCUGUGCCAGCAGCCGCGGUGAUACAGAGGGGGCAAGCGUUGUUCGGAAUUAUUGGGCGUAAAGGGCGUGUAGGCGGCUUAUUAAGUCAGAAGUGAAAUCCCAAGGCUCAACCUUGGAACUGCUUUUGAUACUGAUGAGCUUGAGGCCGGCAGAGGAAAACGGAAUUCCCAGUGUAGCGGUGAAAUGCGUAGAUAUUGGGAAGAACACCAGAGGCGAAGGCGGUUUUCUGGGCCGGAACUGACGCUGAAACGCGAAAGCCAGGGGAGCAAACGGGAUUAGAUACCCGUGUAGUCC